UCCGCCCUACGGGGCGCAGCAGUGAGGAAUAUUGGUCAAUGGUCGGGAGACUGAACCAGCCAAGCCGCGUGAGGGAUGAAGGUACAGAGUAUCGUAAACCUCUUUUGUCAGGGAACAAAGGCGGGGACGCGUCCCCGGAUGAGUGUACCUGAAGAAAAAGCAUCGGCUAACUCCGUGCCAGCAGCCGCGGUAAUACGGAGGAUGCGAGCGUUAUCCGGAUUUAUUGGGUUUAAAGGGUGCGCAGGCGGUCUGUUAAGUCAGCGGUCAAAGCCCGGGGCGUAACCCCGGCC
rnacentral:rRNA from 1 species